rnacentral:rRNA from 1 species
CCUACGUGCGGCAGCAGUGGGGAAUAUUGCACAAUGGGCGGAAGCCUGAUGCAGCAACGCCGCGUGCGGGAUGACGGCCUUCGGGUUGUAAACCGCUUUCGCCUGUGACGAAGCGUGAGUGACGGUAAUGGGUAAAGAAGCACCGGCUAACUACGUGCCAGCAGCCGCGGUGAUACGUAGGGUGCGAGCGUUGUCCGGAUUUAUUGGGCGUAAAGGGCUCGUAGGUGGUUGAUCGCGUCGGAAGUGUAAUCUUGGGGCUUAACCCUGAGCGUGCUUUCGAUACGGGUUGACUUGAGGAAGGUAGGGGAGAAUGGAAUUCCUGGUGGAGCGGUGGAAGGCGCAGAUAUCAGGAGGAACACCAGUGGCGAAGGCGGUUCUCUGGGCCUUUCCUGACGCUGAGGAGCGAAAGCGUGGGGAGCGAACAGGCUUAGAUACCCUUGUAGUC